CCUUUUGAACCGUCCUCCUUGCAUCCCGCUCCUGUCAUGGUGGAGGGUAAUUUAGAAUUUCAGAUGAACAGGAUUGUGGACUUGAGUUCUCCGUAGAUCUCUCCAGUAUCUCAUCCACUGGAAAGGGUAUGGACCAGAGCAGAGGAUGUGGGUUCCAGCGGUCGAUGUUAAUGCUAAUCGUCUUGUGAAGGCCUUUCACAGAGCUCAUCCUGAUAAGCUCCAGCACCGCCUGCUACAGUUACAUAGACACUCCCAUAUCAAUUUCAUCGUCACUGCCCGACACGCCCAUGGACAUUACAUCACAGGGGAAAAAAAGAGCUGCAUCGGCGUGGUCAUGUGACUUCAGCUCAGAAAGGAAGAUAGGAGAAAUAAAGGUACAGUGCUCGAUAAACAUCGACUAUGACUACUCACAAAAUUGCUGGGAUGGCAGUACAGCCCUGCGCUGUUCUUGCUGUCAAAAAUGACGGAACUGUCCAUGGAGGCUCCGAAUGGAACCCUGAGUGGCAAUGUGAACGCAGUCUUAUACAGUCGAA